UACGUAGGGUGCAAGCGUUGUCCGGAAUUAUUGGGCGUAAAGAGCUUGUAGGCGGUUUGUCGCGUCUGCUGUGAAAUUUCGGGGCUCAACCCCGAACUUGCAGUGGGUACGGCAGACUAGAGUGUGGUAGGGGAGACUGGAAUUCCUGGUGUAGCGGUGAAAUGCGCAGAUAUCAGGAGGAACACCAAUGGCGAAGGCAGCUCACUGGGACGAUACUGACGCUGAGGAGCGAAAGCGUGGGUAGCAAACAGG
rnacentral:rRNA from 1 species